AUUCCAGCUCCAAUAGCGUAUAUUAAAGUUGUUGCGGUAAAAAAGCUCGUAGUUGGAUUUCUGUCGAGAACAGCCGGUCACGAUUUUGUCGUUGUAUCUGGUUUGGUCUUGGCAUCCUCUUGGGGAACAUUUCUGCGCUUCACUGCGUGGAGUGGUAUUCAAGACUUUUACUUUGAGGAAAUUAGAGUGUUCACGGCAGGCAAUCGCCCUGAAUAUAUUAGCAUGGGAUAAUGAUAUAGGACCUUGGUUCUAUUUUGUUGGUUUCUAGAACUAAGGUAAUGAUUAAUAGGGACAAUUGGGGGCAUUCGUAUUAACGCGUCAGAGGUGGAAUUCUUAGAUUGCGUUACGACGAACUACUGCGAAAGCAUUUGCCAAGGAUGUUUUCAUUA
rnacentral:rRNA from 1 species